rnacentral:antisense_RNA from 1 species
CGGCCGGGGGCGCCGGGGAGAAGAACCUCUUCCCGGGCCCCGCGUUCAAGACGGCGUGCCGUGACGCUCGAUGGGUCCGCUUCAUCAGACUGCGUACGCUUUGGAGCGUCAGACCCAGGGCGCAUGUAGCCGACUUGGAGGACUUUGCCGCCUUUUAUCGCACCCUCUCGGACAGCGAGCAGCAGGAGUUCGAGCAAGAAGCCGAACUCGCCUCCCGCUCACAACGCGUGCGACACCUGCGCGAGGCCCGGCGCCAGCUCAAGAUGGACCUGAUGUGUCACGGCGGUUGAAAACGCGCAUGAUCUCGCGGAGCCAUCUACGCGCCUGUCAGGGCGAUGACGACAUCAGCGAUGACGGCUCCUGAUACGCGCCGGCAGCUGCAGCACGUGGAGACGCUGCGUCGGUUUCUGCGCGGCGACAGCUGCUUUGUGCACGAUCUCCGGGGCAUGAUGGACUAUCACGACGGGCUCUCGCGCCGUCAACAGCGUGCCUUUUGCCGCGCGAGUCGCGUGUUGACGGACCCGGAGCCCAUCCAGAGCGAAGCGGAGGGGGAGAAUAAACAGUUUACGGAGCAUAAAAAAAAAAAAAAAAAA